AUGCACACACUCUGCUUGCCAAUGCCGUUCACACAGUUUGUUGAUCCUGAUGAGCACGCCGAGAAAAUUGCAGAGCUACACAUGGCCUGUUCUAGCUGUUGUUCUGUGUCAGUGGGUGUGAGGAUCCCGAAAGGGUUCAGCAACCUUAAAGUCUUACAAGUACUAGAGGUUGUGGAUGUGAAACGAACCAGCAGCAAGGCAGUUAAAGAGUUGGGAGAGCUUAUGCGGCUUAGGAAGCUACGAGUGGGAACAGCUGGUGCCACCGAGCAGAAGUGCAAGGUACUCUGUGAGGCUAUCGAGAAGCUAUCUUCCCUCCGCUCUCUUCAUGUGGAUGCUGAUAGCUGGAACUGGGCUUGCUCGUUUGGAAAACUUGAUUGGCUGCAUUCUGUUUCCUCUCCUCCCCCACUCAUGAAGAGCCUCAAGCUGAAUGGAUUUCUUGGAGAGAUACCAGACUGGAUUGGGAGUUUGAUGCAUUUGUUGAAGAUUUACCUACAGGGGAGCAAACUGAUGGGAGGUAAAAGUAAAACAAUGGACUUAUUAGGGACACUGCCGAACCUCAAGCUUCUUGGUUUUUCCAAGAAUGCUUAUGUUGGAGGUAAGCUAGUCUUCGGAGAGGGAGCAUUCCAAAAUCUCAGAAAACUUGAUUUUAGUGCCUGUAGUGAAGUGAAAGAAGUGAGAUUUGAGGACGGCACCUCGCCCCACAUGGAAAAGAUACAAUUUGCCCAUUGCAGGUUGCCAUUAGGCUUGGUGCGCUGCAAGGUGAUCUGGGCGUGCACCCCAACCAUCCUGUUCUGCGACUCCUCGAGGACUGGAGCCACCACGACCUGGGUGACAUCUUCCAAGGAUCCACUACUGUAG
rnacentral:rRNA from 1 species